CAGCAAUCUGGGAAAUGUAGUUCUCGCGGCUCGGCCCGGGCUGGGCGGGUCCCGCCGCGGCUGCCGCCGGGUGCUGGGCGGAGACUCCGUUGUCCCAGCCCCGGAGGGUGGGGGACGCUGAGGCUCCGCAGCCUCAGGACCGGGGAGCGGCAGGCGCUGGUCCGCGGCUCCAGGGACAGCGGCCGUCCGUGGGCCGGCCUCAGGGGCUGAGGUGCGGGCUGCCGGGGCCGAAGGGAAGACGACGGCCAGGGCACAGUCCGGACGGGUCCUUCGGGUCCCCGGGUGACAAGCCCUGCCCUGUCCCUCGCCCUUCUCCCGCCACCGUGAUGGGUCUGCCGGGAACGUAGGGUCCCCCGGUGACUGGUCCCCUUGGACCCGCGGGCCUUCGCUGUAAAUGCAAGCAGUUCCCGGCAACCGGCCUUGCUCACGCGGGCGAGCCCUGCGCUGCGCUCCGGUGUGGACACCGCCCCGCGGGAGGGCACACCCCGACGAGGGCACACCCCGAGGGCACACCCCGACGAGGGCACACCCCUUUGAGCUCGCCGCGCAGCUGGGCGUUGGCACCACUGGAGCCCCGCGUCUGGGCGCUCGGGGGUGGGGGAGGGGUGGCCCCGAGGCCGCCUCUUCCCCGGGCUGCCCGCGCUCCCCCGCACCACCUCCUUCUCUGGCGAGGGUUUCCCCGGUUACUAACUGCGUUGUUAGAAUCGGACUGUGCCGCGUGAUUUGCAUUCGAGGGACCCUGAACGCCAAAGUAGACACUUUCCUAAGUCAUUACCGUUUUGGGGUUUGCUUCGAUUUGGAGAAAGCGCGUUGCUGAGGCAGGAGCGCGGGGAAUCGCCCGUAAACCCCAAAGCGGUGCCGGGCCCGGAGACGCGCCGCGCGUCGCACCCGCCGCCCGCCCGCUGCGGGAGCGCGGCCCGGACCCGCCCGCCGCGGCGAAGGUUCGUGCUGGGACGCGAACGCCUCGCCCCGCGCCGCGCCCUGCGCGUCUGCAGGGUCUCCUCCGUCCCGCUUCAGAAGGCGGCGGUCGUGGAGAGAAAACCUCCGUUUCUGUGCAGCUCUGCGUAACUGCCAUUAUGCUUCCAUCGGGAACGGCGCAGAGUUCAGAUGCAUGAGCUGCCGCCCCAGUGCUCGCUCGUCACGGGCCCUGCGCACUGCCCACCACCCAGUCACCGCGUCUCCAGUCCCUCCGCUCCGGCAACCCUCAGUUUGCUUCCUAGAGUUCAGUUCCUCUCACGAGAGAGACCACGAGCAGAGGGAACAGGAGAGGGAGAGUCUG